rnacentral:rRNA from 1 species
AGCGAACGCUGGCGGCAGGCCUAACACAUGCAAGUCGAACGAACCCUUCGGGGUUAGUGGCGGACGGGUGAGUAACACGUGGGAACGUGCCUUUAGGUUCGGAAUAACUCAGGGAAACUUGUGCUAAUACCGAAUGUGCCCUUCGGGGGAAAGAUUUAUCGCCUUUAGAGCGGCCCGCGUAUGAUUAGCUAGUUGGUGGGGAAAUGGCCCACCAAGGCUAAGAUCAGUAGCUGGUCUGAGAGGAUGACCAGCCACAUUGGGACUGAGACACCGCCCAAACUCCUACGGGAGGCAGCAGUGGGGAAUCUUGCGCAAUGGGCGAAAGCCUGACGCAGCCAUGCCGCGUGGAUGAUGAAGGUCUUAGGAUUGUAAAAUCCUUUCACCGGUGAAGAUAAUGACUGUAGCCGGAGAAGAAGCCCCGGCUAACUUCGUGCCAGCCGCCGCCGUAA